ensembl:lncRNA
ACCGAUGCUCCUCCCCAGUCAGUCUCCUCCCGGGUGUAAACAUGGCCGUUGUGUCCAUAGCAAAGCCUUGGAUAUAAUGCUGCUAGCUAAAUACGAAAGUUAUCACUGCUCUAUGCCAGCAGGGUUUACGUUGUGGAGUUCAUCUCCAGUAAAUUAGUGAAUUAACUCACGGUCUGCAGCUAGGCGUUCGCAAAGUUCUGCGAAUGGAAUGCUUGCUAGUUAGCUAAAGCUAGCUAGGUUGUUUGACGACGUAAAAGUUGCUUGCUAGCAGUUAACUACAAGGCUGGCUGGCUACUAGUAACUUGCUCGCGAGGACAACCAGAGCUCGCCAGCACAGCAGCUGUGUUGACACGAAACGAAAGGAGAUACCCAGCAAGCUAUCCCGGCCUGAUCCAUAUGGGGAAAUCUAUCUAAAAAAAGAUGAACGUGGUACCUUCAGGCAUUUGGAAAUGGGUCCCAAGGAUGAACCAGGCUUGUGGAGGUCUACGCUUUCCUUUGAUUUUCCCAUGAUGUCAAGCAAAGAGGCACUGAGUUUGAAGUAUGUUUGUGCCUUACAGGUGCUUAAGAAUAGAAAAGGGCACUGGAAGGUAAUAACUAAUGUCACAGUCACUGUGAAUGGAGAAUUCAACAACCACCCCAACAGGAAUGACACAGCCCUGUUAUAUACUCCUGGGGAUCCUUACAUACCACUGUAUGUAGCGGGAGCCUUGUUCUUCUCCUGCCUGUUUGUUACUGCCAUUGUCAUUGUCAUGAUGAAAAAUACCAAGAUUUCGCAAGCAGAAUCUCACACUCUGAGAAUGAAAAGAGAACAAGAUGGAGAGGAGACAAUUAACUCAGACUGCUCCCCAUAUGCUGAGGGCAGAGGAGAGGAUGAGGGGCUCUUCUCACUUCUGAAGCUGACUGAAGUGAGAGAUCCUGUGACUGCACAGAAUGGAGCUGAAGAACAUGCUGCUGUUGCUGUCGAGCCCAAUUCUGUAGUCAUGCUCAAUACUGAGUAUGAGGCCUUUGACCUCCAGGCCACUCAGACAUCAUCAACCUACCCCCUCAGGAUUGGAGCGAAAGUAUGAGUUACUAGCAGCCAAUAGUUACUCAUAUGAUGUAGAAAAGUGAGCUAAAGAUAAUGUUUUCAUGAUUGGUCUUUCAUAUUCGAUUUAGACCAGGAUUGGCGCGGGGCAGCCAGGGGUUUGUUUGGCCGGUGGGAGGGGUUGAGUGUUGGUUAAAAAAACAUUUCUGAUUCUUAUUGAUUGUACAGGUUGUGACUCAAUAAAAAACUUAGCCCACAAAAAUGAAGUUACAUUAAAGAGAGAACGAGGAUUUACUUUAUUUUUGAAUUGAAUGUUUUUGUGUUCAUUCAAGCUCUACUGAACAUUUCCACUAGAUGGUGCUAGUGCUCAGUCCUACAUUUGUGCUUACUGUUUCUCGGAUAUUGUGUCA